CAUGUGGGGCAAGCGUUGUUCGGAAUUACUGGGCAUAAAGGGUGCGUAGGCGGCUUGUUAAGUCAGGGGUGAAAGUUUUCGGCCCAACCGGAAAAUGGCCUCUGAUACUGGCGAGCUCGAGUGCGUGAGGGGUGACUGGAGCGAGCAGUGUAGCGGUGAAAUGCGUAGAUAUUGCUCGGAAGGCCAACGGCGAAGGCAGGUCACUGGUACGCAACUGACGCUGAGGCACGAAAGCGUGGGGAGCAAACAGGAUUAGAUACCCUGGUAGUCCACGCCGUAAACGAUGAGCACUAGGUAGGUGCCGAGCUAUUCGGUGCCUGCCGCAGGUAAUUUGAUAAAGUGCUCCGCCUGGGGAGUAUGGUCGCAAGGCUG
rnacentral:rRNA from 1 species